UACUUUAGACCAGGGUCUAUAGGACUGAGGGCACUACUUUAGACCAGGGUCUAUAGGACUGAGGGCACUACUUUAGACCAGGGUCUAUAGGACUGAGGGCACUACUUUAGACCAGGGCCUAUAGGACUAAGGGCACUACUUUAGACCAGGGUCUAUAGGACUGAGGGCACUACUUUAGACCAGGGUCUAUAGGACUGAGGGCACUACUUUAGACCAGGGUCUAUAGGACUGAGGGCACUACUUUAGACCAGGGUCUAUAGGACUGAGGGCACUACUUUAGACCAGGGUCUAUAGGACUGAGGGCACUACUUUAGACCAGGGCCUAUAGGACUGAGGGCACUACUUUAGACCAGGGUCUAUAGGACUGAGGGCACUACUUUAGACCAGGGUCUAUAGGACUGAGGGCACUACUUUAGACCAGGGUCUAUAGGACUGAGGGCACUACUUUAGACCAGGGUCUAUAGGACUGAGGGCACUACUUUAGACCAGGGUCUAUAGGACUGAGGGCACUACUUUAGACCAGGGUCUAUAGGACUGAGGGCACUACUUUAGACCAGGGUCUAUAGGACUGAGGGCACUACUUUAGAC